rnacentral:tRNA from 1 species
GCAGGGAUGGCAGAGCGGUAAUGCGCAGGCCUGGAGAGCCUGUGGUCCAAUUGGAUCGCGCGGGUUCAAGUCCCACUCCCUGCGCCA